rnacentral:lncRNA from 1 species
CAAAAAGGUGCCUUGGUUCCAGGAUCGCUGCAACAAUUUCUAGGGUCAGCAAACAUCAUCUCCUGCUAGGGAGGGUCCGGGGGCGAGAACAGUACUGGCCUCAGAAACUAGAGGCUGCUGUUGGGUCUCGAAUCUCCUCCUCCCCAAACAGCUGCAAUCUCCGAUAGGGUAAAGGAUAUUUAAAUCUCUUUGUGCUUUGCAGAGCUUGGGUUGUCCUGGUGGCUUCUUGGGUCCAAACCCACCUCGCUGUCCUUGGGAGACCUUUGGGAAAUGCAGCCUCAGGCUCGGCACUGCUGGGGGAGGCUCAAAAUGUGGCUCGUGCAUGCAGGCUCCAAAGUUGUUGGUCUUUUUCUUGGCACGGGAACGUGGAAUUUUUUCUUUUUUAAUCAGCUUUGUGGGAGUGCUAGUUUUUUUUUUUUUUUUUUUUAAGAAGCUGUUGCAAGUAGCUGGACUUAAUCUCUGUGAAGAAUAUUAUUCUCCGGGACAAUACCGAGCCGUAGGAGAGGGCUCCGCGAUUCGGUCUGGGAGCUCUGCGGUAGGGCUGCAGCAGGAGGGGAAAAAAGCCGUGCAUCUCCUGCUGCUGAGCUGCCUGCACAUCUCUGUUCAGCUGCAGUGCCCUGAAGGAGGAAGGAAGGAGCACGAAAUCCCUGGGUCAGUGCAAAAAUUCCUCCCAGGAGAAUCAAGGCUGGGCCGUGCUGACACGCCGAUGCUCCUGGCUGUGCUGGAGUGCUGCAUCUCCACGAGGAGAAGACAUCUCCAAGGCAGUGAGUGGGGAAGGAGGGGGGAGAAACGCAGCCGGCGGUGA